rnacentral:rRNA from 1 species
UACCAGCUCUCCGAGUUGUAGGGAUGAUUAUUGGGCUUAAAGCGUCCGUAGCUGGCUUAGCGAGUCUCCUGUUAAAUUCAGCGACCUAAUCGUUGAGCCGCGGGAGAUACUACUAGGCUAGGAGGCGGGAGAGGUCGACGGUACUUUCGGGGUAGGGGUGAAAUCCUAUAAUCCCGGGAGGACCACCAGUGGCGAAGGCUGUCGACUAGAACGCGCUCGACGGUGAGGGACGAAAGCUGGGGGGAGCGAACCGGAUUAGAUACCCGAGUAGUCCCAGCUGUAAACUAUACGGGCUUGGUGUUGGGGUGGCUACGGGCCACUUCAGUGCCGCAGGAAAGCCAUUAAGCCCGCCGCCUGGGGAGUACGGCCGCAAGGCUGAAACUUAAAGGAAUUGGCGGGGGAGCGACCACAAGGCGUGAAGCUUGCGGUUC